GGACAGAGGAACACACCAGUGCCCUCUGUAGAGAGCAGAGGGGGAAAGCACUGUCCUUCUUGGAGCUCACACUUUCGCUUUCACUUAUUUACAGCAAGUUCCUGAAAUGAACAUGGAUAUGCGAUAAUAAUAGCCCAAGCCAUCUGGGUGAUGAGAUAUAAUGGCUGGAAAUCAAGCAGCCCAUUGAAUGGUGAGACAGCAAGACAAAAAGAACCUGGAUUCUUUAAAUGGUGCAGCUGCGAUAUUGGACCUGGAUUGUUCUUCCUUGAUAGAACAAAAAAAAAAAGAAAGAAAGAAAGAAAAGAAAAGAAAAAAAUGAAAAGAAAAGAAAAAAAAAAAAAGAAAAAAGAAAGGAAAAACUUCCUUCUUAUUUAUGCUACUGCUUGCGGAAAACUGCGCACAUGACCUACUAACACAUCGUAAUCACCCAAAGAGGUUCCUGAGGGUCAAAAAGGACUGAAGAGGAGAAACUCUGUCCAGCUGGAAGAUAUAACGAGAUGUCUCUCAGUGGAAGAUGAACAUGGAUGUCACUUGGUAGGACAUGGGAGUGGACAGUCCUUUAAUUUCUUUAUUUAUUUAAAAAUAAACAGAGUAACACUAAAGUAACUAAUGGUUUAUUAAUUUCAUCAAGAGUUAUUCUUUUAUAGAAAGAAGGAAGCACAUGCAUUGCCAGUUUUGCAAGACUUUGCUCAUACAUCCUCCCAUUUAAUCCUCAUAAAUCCCUGCAAAGGAGGCUAUAAUCUCUCUCUCUUUCUCUUUCACCUUUUGAUCUUUAGCAUAUAAAGAUCCUUGGGCUCAAAAAGAUUAAGUAACCUAAGUACACAGAUCCAAAACCAAUGCUCCUUUCAACAUGAAGUAGCUGAUAAAGAGCAGAGCUGAAAUUCAAAUGCACGUUUCUGACAUCCAGUCUCAAGCCCUAACCAGUACACUGCCCCACUGAAAUCUGAGAAACAUUCCUUUUCACCCACAGGAAGCCGUUUGAUUUGAGUCAUGACUUCAUAGACAGAACAAAGCUGGCUGCCUAAUGACAGAUCUGCGGUUCAUAUGCUCAGACUUUUAAAAAAUCUACAAAGUAAUUACCAUUAUCUUUUUAUAAAAAUAUUUAUUUAUUUAUUUAUUUAUUUAUUUAUUUAUUUAUUUAUUUAUUUGAGAGGGGAGGGACAGAGAGGGGCAGAGGGAGAUGGAGAGAGAAUCCC
rnacentral:lncRNA from 1 species